CCUACGGGUGGCAGCAGUCGAGAAUCAUUCACAAUGGGGGAAACCCUGAUGGAGCGACGCCGCGUGGGGGAAUGAAGGUCUGCGGAUUGUAAACCCCUGUCAUGUGGGAGCAAAUUAAAAAGAUAGUACCACAAGAGGAAGAGACGGCUAACUCUGUGCCAGCAGCCGCGGUAAGACAGAGGUGUCAAGCGUUGAUCGGAAUAACUGGGCGUAAAGCGGGCGGAGGCGGUUUCGUAAGUCGUGUGUGAAAGGCGCGGGCUCAACCCGCGGACGGCACCUGAUACUGCGAGACUAGAGUACUGGAGUGGGAACCGGACUUCUCGUUGUAGCCGUGCACUGCGUAGAUAUC
rnacentral:rRNA from 1 species